GAAAAUUCCGCUGGAGGGGGAAACAGUUAUUUAAGCGAAAAUCGCGGAAUUUCGCGUCGCAGUUUGUUCAAUAGUGUCGUUGUGUACGUACGAAGACCGAAGAUGUGAAAGUAUGGGCAAAGAGUAUGGUGAGAGUUCUCAAUAUGGGCGUCCACGCAGGCAACUAUACCAAGAAAAUCCGUCUACUACACACGUAAUAGCGUUCUGUAUUGAUUCCAAUAUGGCGCCUUAGAUUCGUAGGGUGCGGUCUCAAAGUAGGAACGCGCAGGUCCAUUUUAAGGCAGAGUAAAAAUAAUAAGACACGUCGAUAAACGAAAAACAAUGGUAUGGUCGCUCUCACAUAUUAUUUCAUUAACACAGUAAAGUAUUCUAAUAAGUUUUUUAUUUUCAUACAUUUAUUAUUUUGUUGUAAAGUAUAAACGUUUAGAGAAGCCCUGGUGCUUCGUUUAGGUGAUCUAAACUGGUCUUUCGGGACCAGAACACUUAGCAUUUUUCUAGAUUGUAAUCAUCGAUUUUCGAACGAGUACGAUGGAGAUAGAGAUUAGAAAGAGUGGGAAAGAAAUGUUAGGAGAGCGCAAUAACACUUUUGUCCGGAUUCUCCCGGAACUCCCCCCUCCCAAUACCGUCGAACAAUAUUGACAGAUACUCGAGACUAAAAGUAUUUUGCAAUAUGACAGGAUCAAACAUUUUGGUGUGUGGUUAUUUAUAAUAAGAACUUGAUAAUCUUUUACUCUAAUAUUAUUACUUUUUUAUUAACAAUUUUUACAUCUGAUGUGCUAUAUAUAUAAUUUUGAUAUCGUAUUAUAUUUUUUAUCAGACACUGCCUGCAAUUUAAUAACUUUUAUACAGUUUUUUAGUAUAUUUUUUAUUGAUGUUUUGAUGCAAAGAGAAGAACUUAUAUGUUUUAAAUCGUAUUUAUAGUUAUUAAAUUCAGAAGCGCUGCAUAUGCAUAUGCUCAUGUCCCUUUUAUUAUUUUUAACCAAUAUUUUUAUAUCUACAGUUUUCCAAAUAUGACAUUGUAGUUUCCCCCGUAUAGUACUAUAUUUAAUAUAUAACAUUAUUUUACAACCAAACAGAAAUUCUAUGGCGUUUGUACAAACAAUAUUUUCAACGAUAUGAAUAAAAUAUUUUUAAAAUUGAAACUUA